AACCAAUGCUACUUUCUUCUUCUCGUCCACGAAUAAGCUCACAUCUAUAUUCCUCAAUCUUUCAUUGAACACUGACCUAUCCAGUUUCAAGAAGUAGCUCCACGACACCGCGUUGGGUCAAUCUUAGUUGUAAUCCAUAUCUCCAUCUCACAUGCAUUCGACCUCUUAAAUAACACUACACGCUUUUCUUCUCUAACAGAAGAUAGAGUCACAGCAUCGUCAGGAUAAGAUUCAAACGGCAGAUGCAUGUUCGGUCCAAAACUCUCGUUUGUAAAAAUCAAAGCAAAGUGAAACAUUUGUCAUCACUCCUUCCAAUCUUUCCUGAGCAACAAAGUAAUUGUUACCCUUCACGGACACGCCCCGAAAACUAU